UACGUAGGGACCAAGCGUUGUUCGGAUUUACUGGGCGUAAAGGGCGCGUAGGCGGCAUGACAAGUCACUUGUGAAAUCUCUGGGCUUAACUCAGAACGGCCAAGUGAUACUGUCGCGCUAGAGUGCAGAAAGGGCAAUCGGAAUUCUUGGUGUAGCGGUGAAAUGCGUAGAUAUCAAGAGGAACACCUGAGGCGAAGGCGAGUUGCUAGGCUGACACUGACGCUGAUGCGCGAAAGCCAGGGGAGCAAACGGG
rnacentral:rRNA from 1 species